rnacentral:rRNA from 1 species
UACGGAGGAUCCAAGCGUUAUCCGGAUUUAUUGGGUUUAAAGGGUGCGUAGGCGGCUUAUUAAGUCAGGGGUGAAAGACGGUGGCUCAACCAUCGCAGUGCCUUUGAUACUGAUGAGCUUGAAUACACUUGAGGUAGGCGGAAUGUGACAAGUAGCGGUGAAAUGCAUAGAUAUGUCACAGAACACCAAUUGCGAAGGCAGCUUACUAAGGUGCAAUUGACGCUGAGGCACGAAAGCGUGGGGAGCGAACAGG